CCAUGGUCGUUAUUAAAUGGCGGCGAGCGACGGCUGGGGUCGAAUUUUAAAUCGGGGAGUUUUUGCUGGAUGGAGUAGAUAUGAGAAAGAUGAAAAGAAAAGUGGCCAAGUUGAGUGGCUUUCGUCUAAGUCCAAAUGAAGAAGCACUUUUGAUAAAGGAAGAGCAUGAGAGGCGAAGGAGGUUAAGAAUAAAACAGGUCAGAGAACAGGAGCGUUUCAUUGCUGAGCAGAUCCGGGAAAAAGUAAAGCAGUGUCGUAAUCAACAACUUGAGCAACUGGCAAAUGAGUUGAAGGCUGAAUGGCAAUUGGCACAAGGCGAAAAAACAAAGUGUCUAGAGAAGUUGUAUCUUAGUAGUUUAAAGGCAGUUGGUGAAGGCCACAGACAAGCUCAAGAAAAUGAGCCAGACUUGAAAAUUCAAUCAAAACAGGCAGCAGUUAACAGAGAAAAGGCUGAGAAAAGACAUAGAGAAGCAUUAAGGGAGUUGAAGCAGCAAAGAGAAAAAGAACAUGAAGUUCAAACCAGGUAUAUCAAAACUCGCAAAAAAGCACUACUCAUUGAGAAAAAAAGGGCAAUAACAAUUGCACACCUUCCACCACCUCCAACCAACCCCUUUGCUGAUCUAGAAGUUCCAAAAUACCCAACAGUGAAGAUGUAUGAUAUUGACAGCUUCUCUGCCACACACUAUCAUCUGCCUGAGCCUUAUGUGAACAGGGAAAUGAACUCAAAACAGGUUAGUGCUCGACUGACUGCUGAAAAGGAAGAAAAGCGUUUAGAGGAAUUGAAACAGGAGGCUGAGAUGGAAAGACAAGAGCAGCUUGAGAAAGCUAGAUUGAGAGGCAGUCGUGCUCUCCAAUUAGUUCAUUUGAUGCAGGACAAAGAGAAACUGAUCAAGGAGCUGGAACAAAUGCAGCUUGCAGACUUGACCCAUAGAAGGCAGGCAGUGUCUCAAAUGCCACAGCAGCUGUUUGAACCACCAUAUAGACGAGUGGAGAUAAACAAGGAUCGGCAGAAAGAGAUGGAAAUUGCAUUUGAGGAUAUGUAUGCUGAUGAUAAAAAAAUCAAAGGUGAUGUGUUAUUACGUCUUGAGCCUGAACCAUUACCAGCCCCAUCUGUUGAAACGCAGGAUGAAGAUUUAGAUCUCUCUGUGGAACUGGAAGGAUUUCAAGAGGAGCAAUGUGCAAAAGGAGAUCAAGAAGAAUCUGAGAUUAAACACUUUAGAAAAACAGAAGUUUCACCAUUAAUUGUAACUGGUCAGCCCUCUGCAAGCCCUUCUAAAACUGCCUUGAUGAAACUCCUUUCUAAGAUAAGGAAGCAAAAAGACCAUUGUAUGACAAGAUCUGAAUCUAAUAGUGUAAACGAAGAAGUGACCAUUAACUCUGGUUCCAUAACUGUUGAAGAAUCCAAACAAACAACUUUGGCUGAAUCUACGAGCAAUGCAAAUUUAAGUGAAGAAUGGCCAGAAGUACGUUCAGUGCUCCCUGAUAGUAAUUAUCAAAGAGAAACUUCUGAAGAAACCAUAGUAGCUGGAAAUACUACUUUGUUCCAUCCAAAGGAGCAAGCAAAUAGAAUUCGAUCUGAUGUUGACCGAGUAAAGCAGUUGCAUGACUUGGAGCAGCAGAAGCAAGAACAGUUGGCUUUGCUGUGGCAGUCUGAACAUCAAAAGCAUGACCUUGAAGCUAAUUUGCGAAUAUCUCAGUUACAACAGCUGCAAGAAGCAACACAACUACAAGAAAGACUGAUCAGUGAUUCUGAAAAGCAAACCUGGCAGGAGAAUGAACAGUUGAAACAUUCCAAGAGCAUUGUGUCAAGUGAAGUUUCUCCAGAAGAUGAAAUCCAUCAGUAUCAACAGCACCUUAUUGAGCAAAACAGGUUACAUAAAACAAUAGUGGAAGAAACCAGGAAACAAUUAAAUGAAUAUCUGUUGGAAAAAGGAUUGCCUUCUGAUUCCACUUCUGCAAGCUGCCAGGUGCACAGUGAAAGCAAGAAUCACCUUGAUCUUUUAAGAUCUGAAAGGCGUGGUUUUGAAGUAAAUGGUGUGAAAGUAUUAGAACCUUCCCUGACGAUUUUAGAUGCAGUUGAGUCAGAGCAAGUCCUGAGUCAUGUGGGUUUAAUGGAGGAUGAAUUGAAGUCCAUACGUACACAACCAGGAACAACAGAAAUUGCAGAGGAAAGAUUGAAGCAGUCAAUGUGUUCGAUACCCUUGACAAAACCUAUUGAAAUACUAAAGAAUCAGGAAAGAGUAUCCGCCUCAUCAGUGGAUCUUUCUUUCCAGCAAGAACACUUAAUAGGAUUGCAGCAACAACUAUGGAGGCAGAGGCAAGAUCUUCUUGCCACACAGAAAUUACAACAAGAAUUCAUUUGUAGACAAAACCAAUUAAUGGAACAGAUGCAGCAACAGCAAUAUCAAGGCAUGGAGAAGAAAUGGACUGGAAAUCAGUCUGGACACCUGGCCUUACAGGAGGUAAUACCCGCAAGUGAAAAUGUUAAGCAGCUUACUGUCAUGCCGUACCAGAUGUGCUCCUUUGAGAAUUUUAAUACUGGAUCAACCAAUAAGAAUCCUGAUUUCACCAACAAAGAGCAGGACCAAGGUCCAGCACCAUCAGUUCAAAUAAAUGAAGCAUUAUUGCCUUUUUGGUAUUAUGAUUUCAAAACAAAACAAGCUGAAUGUUCCAAUGUUGAAGCUGUUAUAAGAGAAACUCGAUAUUACAAGCGUUCUAAACCACCUGUAACUAAGACAAGGUUGGGGCUUUGUGGAGUAAUUGAACAGCAUGAAUUAAGUUCCAUUCAGGAGGUGGAAUCACCUAAAAGUGACAGACUGUCUAUGUAUGAUGACGGGAUGACAAAGUCAAACGACUGCUAUAAAUCAGUAGCUAAAGAGUUAAUACCAAGUAUAAUGGAUCCUCCUCAUUCCUCUGAAGUAAUGGAAUUGGAUUUGUCCAACAUGUCCACACACAGUAGUCAAAAUUCUAGUGUGCCAAAAAGUACUGCAGAAUCUAUUCAAACAGGCAGAAUGACUUGGCGAGAGAAGCUUAACUUGGAAACUGGCAGUCUUCCAGUGCAAGCUUCUCUUUCAAAGUCACCAAGUUGUUUUGCCAAAAUUGAAAGUGAUGGGCUUGAAUACAGUGACCCAGCUUCAUGUAACAUAAAUAGUAUGGUAUUUCCUCACUAUUCAAAGGACUCAUGUUUUAAUGCUGUUGAAAAAACCUGUGAAGUAGAUCAAACAUCUACCACAACAUUGUCCACUGGAAGUUUUCCUUUGCAUGAACAAACAGCUCCUGGUCCCUUAAAUUCAGCAGGUGACCAUCAAUGUACCAUUGACAACAUUCCUAGUAGACAGUCAACUCCUACUUCGCCUGUAUGCAUAUGGAAUUUGCCACCUUCAUUUCCUGAAUACCAGUAUACAAUGAAGGCCCAAAGUAAUGUUUUUAGCACCAGUGAGGAAAGAAGUACUUCUAAUGAAAGCAAUAUUGAAAAACUAAUUGAGAAGUAUACCCAAGAUCUAAGCAAAUUACUGGAUUCAGGUGGAAAAUGUCAAGAUUCCACAACUGGUUGUGAUAUUUCAAACCUGGAAUUCCUCAACCCCUUUCUUCAGCGGCAUAAUUGUCAACAGGAUUCAGAUUUUGAAUUUCAGCCUUUGGAGUGCAGACCUGACUUUAGCAUUAAUAGUUCUUCAUUAUCUCUGACAUCUAGCAAGAAUUCAAAUUUCCCAAGUAUUGGCAGCACCUCAGGAAAUCAGCGUUCUAUCCCAACUGCAACUUCAGACAAAGAAUCCUCUAGCAACACUCUAGCCUCUGACAUAACAGCCUCAGAUAUAGAUCAACCAGAGGACCACAUUCAGCAGUCCUAUGAGGAAAACAGUAGUUUGGAUUUUUUCCAACCUGUACAUCUGGAAAUCUCUCCAAGACAAUACAAUUCAAAUACUGAUCAUUCUAGUGAAAAUUUAGAGCAGGAAUGUCAUAAUGAAAAUUCAACAAAUACUGAGUAUGUUCCAUCUGACCUGUCAAGAGCUGGAAGGGUAGUUGCUGAUUCAUUGACUGUGGAUUCCAUAAAUCAAUCAUCUUAUUCUGAACCAGGCAUUGAAAAAUUGCGAGUUGGUGAUGGAGAAAAUUCUCAAGAGCAUGCUGAUUCAUUCUUCCAACAAAAUGGAACAUUGACUACUGUGAGUGAGUUUGAAAUGCCUAACCAAGAUGAAAAAUGGCUGGAGGAUUGCGAGUCUAAAAAACAGAUAGUUGCCUUCACCAAGACAAUAAAUUCAGAUGACAAAGUCACUCUGGAAAGUCUAUGUAUUGAAGCCUCUAAGUUAAUGUUAUCGGAAGAAGACAAUUGUGUUUAUAGUAAAUUGCACCAAAUUACAGAACAGAAUUCCAUGAUGCAAUCUAAACAGUUACCUCAUACAAAGGAAGGAACUGACACUGUCAUGGAACGUGAGGGUGAAUUCGAACCUCAUUGGGAUCGGUCUCAACCAUCGGCAUCAAAUCUAAUGCCAGGGAUUUGCCAGUUAGGGACACUUACACCAGGGACAGAAUCAGAUGUUGGAAUUAUGGAAGAACCAGAACUGACACAGCUAACACUGAAUGAGUCAACGUUAUUAGAUGAUGAACUAGGUCAAGAGGUUGCAGUUGAACAUAUAACUACUGAAAAUGAUUUAAGUGAAAUACAAGCACCUUCUCAGGCAAAUGGAAUACAGCCUGUAAUUCCCGUGAACACAAGUUCUGAAUCACAAAAAUCUGAAGUUAUAAUAUUUGAGUUUGAACCAUCUGCUAAGAUUUUGAAUGAAGCAGUUUUGAAGAGAAAACAGAAAUUUCUUGCAAAUUCUGCAAAACGCGUAAAAGACUUGAAAAGGAAAGAAAAAUCUGGAAUAGUGAAGUCUGAACUAUAUGCUAGACCAAUUAGUCAUGGGCAAGGACAGACUUCUGGUUUUGCAGCAUCAUCAUCAUCAUCAUCAUCAUCAUCAGUGGCAACUCAUUUGAAGAUGGUGGGAGAAGUAAAAGUCUCCACUCCAGAGGACAGGAAAGCUGUAGAAGUUGAGAUGCGACAAAGAACACUCCGUCUCUACAGUCAGCUUGAAGAAGUGAAAAACAAGAAAAGGGAAGUGAACAGACAAACAGUUUGUGCUAGAAAUCGAGAAAAAGCAAAAGAAUUUCAGAAGAGAACAUUGGAAAAGCUAAGAGCAAACAGAGUUCGCAAGUGAUGCAUCUGCGACCUUUGGAUCAAUCAAAAAUAAUUGCAUCGUGAUGUAUAUAAGUUCAAGAGCCUGAUGGCUGAGGGGUAAUAAUAGUUCCUAAACCUGGACGUGUGGGCCCUUAGGCUCCUGUAACUUCCUGAUGACAGCAGCGAGAAGAGAACGUGGCCUGGAUGGUGAGGGUCCUUAAUAAUGGAUGCUACUUUCCUGUGGCAAAGCUCUGUGUAGAUGUGCUCAGUGGUGGUGAGUAACAGCCACAGAUAUUUUUUUGUUCUUUUAUUGAAUACUGCCUCAUACACCAUGUGGUUUAGUACUGUGAAACUUAACAGAGAAUUCCAUAGAGAACAUCCCUGUAUCUUUAACCUUAAGUUUUAAAAUGACAAAUCAGCAUAUGGGAGGGAGAUUCAAAAACUGGUUGAGUCGUGCCACAACAACAACUUAUUUAAUAUCAGCAAAACCAAAGUGAUCAUUGAUUACAGGAGAAUGAAACUAGGGGGUCCAUGAGCUUGUCCUCAUUAGGGGAUUGAAAGUGGAAUCAGUAACAUUAAAUUUCCUUGGCAUUAUCAUAUCACUCUUUCACAAGUUCUACCAGUCUGCUGUUGACAGUACAAUCUUCUAUGCAGGUGAUGUGCUGCGGCAAUGGCGUCAAUUCAGGUGAUGCCAACUGGCUGUGAUAUCGGAGUCAAACUGGACACACUGGAGGCUGUGGUAGAACAAAGGGCCCUAUGGAAAAUCCUGGCAAUUCUGGAGAAUGUUUCUCGUCCUCCACAUGCCACCUUGGCUGAACAGAGGAACUCUUUUAGUAUCAAGUUAAGACAGAUGCGGUGCUCCAAAGAGUGCUAUAUUAGGUCAUUCUUACCCUCGGCCAUUAGGCUUUAUGAUGAGUCAACCUAUAGCCAGGGAAGUGAUGACCCCCUCCUGUUAGACUGUUCGAGGUAACUUAUUUUUUUGUGUUCUUAAUUCUUUCCUAAUACUUGUAUAUUGCAUAUCUGUGCACUUGUAAUGCUACUGUGACUAAUUUCCUUUGGGAUCAAUAAAUUAUCCAUCUAUCUAUAUUAGAGAAUCUGUCCUGGCACUGGAAUGUAAGUGUCAUUUCAGAGAGGGCACGGCAGCACCUCUUCUUUCUUAGAAGUUUUUAGCAGAAUUGGCAUGUUAUUUAAAACUUUGACAAACUUCUGUGUAUACACAGUGGAGGAUAUCCUAACUUGUUGCAUCGAAUGCUGAUAUGGAAACACCAAUAUCCAGGAACAUUGUACUAUUGGGAAAGUGGUACAUAAGCCUGAAGGCCUGCACUCACCGAUUCAGCAACACCUUUUUUUCCCCCAUGUUCUAAAUGAACAUUGAACCCAUGAACACUACCUCACUAUCUUUUAUUGUUUGUUGUGUAUUACUUAUUUUAACUUAAACUUAUUGUUACUAGUUUGAAGUUAGCUAUAUUAACUUUUAUUAUUUUAACUUCAAACUAGCUGUAGCUCAUUUUGGCCUCUGUUAUUUUUUUGUGUUCUCAGCCAUUCUUUCUUGUUGCUGAUUGGUGGGCUGAGGAUUUGGGGUUUGAUGUUCUUGUUUCUCCAUGUGGGUAAUCUGUUAGUUUUUGUGUGGGGGGGGGUUUGAGGUUUGUG